rnacentral:rRNA from 1 species
AAAAACAUAGCCCGUUGACAUAAUCACAUAAUGGGUCAAGCCUGCCCAAUGGAAUUCUCCAAAUGGCCGCGGUACCUUGACCGUGCAAAGGUAGCAUAAUCAUUUGUCCUUUAAUUGAGGACUUGUAUGAAUGGCACCACAUCUUUUAACUGUCUCCUUUCUUCCCACUCUAAACUUCUUUUAAUGUGAAGAAGCAUUAAUAAAAAAGAAAGACGAGAAGACCCUGUCGAGCUUCAACUCUAAAAAGAAAUUUUCUAACUCUUAUCUUUAAAAAGUUUUGGUUGGGGUAACCACGGAGAAAAAACAUACUCCCUAAUUAAAAAAGAUCAGUAAUCAAUUUAAUAUCAUUAUAAUGAACUAGUAAACACCAAGAAAAAGAAAUAGUUACCGCAGGGAUAACAGCGUAAUCUUCUUUGAGAGUUCAUAUUGACAAGAAGGCUUGCGACCUCGAUGUUGGAUUAGGGCCACCAAAGGGUGCAGCAGCUCUUAACGGUUGGACUGUUCGUCCAUUAAUCCCCUACGUGAUCUGA